UUUAAGCACGUUUCUCUAAUGUUUGAUCGUCCAUCUUAUUUGAAUUUUUUUAUGAUUAGUAUUUUUGUUAUUAUUAGAUGAUAAAAUAUGAAUAGUACUUUAUAUAUGAUUUUUUAAUUUUUUUAUAAUUUUUUUAAAUAAGACGGAUGGUUAAAUGUUAGAUACAGGAACUCAUGACUACACUUACA
rfam:Oryza punctata chromosome 1, whole genome shotgun sequence.